rnacentral:lncRNA from 1 species
CUCUCGCGGUCGACAUAUGGUGCGGAGUGCUGGGUGGGGAAUUCAAGGAAUGGUCUCGGCGCAAUUUCCUACAUUCUUCUCCCCCUAGAUUUAUAUCAAAGAUGUUACCAUCAAUCAUCAUCAUACAAAAAAAAAGAAAAAAAAAGAAAAAGAAAAAGCCACUGGCAUGACAUGGACUGAUGAGUAUGCUUGGUUUGCCUGAUUGAGCCCUACAUGACUUGUCAUGACCUAUCCAUCGCUGCACUUCUGGAGCCCCGUUUAUACCCGGUUCAAUUUGUUUUCAGCGGAAGUGGCCGGUAAAUAUUAGACUACAAAACAAAAAACAGCCCCCCUACUCCAAAUAUAUCUAAUCUUGUUGAAGGCAGCAAUUGAAAAUAAAGUUUGAUUGCGAGAGCUGAUGCAUUAGACCUUCAUGAACUGCGACCAUGGAACCUAUAGACUGAAUUCAAGAGAUUAUAUGUCUAUGAUUCCUAUCUUGAUAAGAUCAAUCGAGAUAUAUUGUAGCUUGCAGGUCCCAAAUUAUUUCUCCAUUCUAGCAAAUUGAUGCAUGUGACACCUUAGCUUUGCUAGCUUCAAUCCGGCUUAGAGGUGACCGUUGCGUGGAGCAAACUUGAUGUUGACCAGGGGUUUGAAGUUAGGCGUAAUGGUGCGAGGUAAUGAGAGGUUAACUUUGGAAUGCAAGGGACAUUCUGGGUUCAAAUCAUUUUGGCAAAAGAGGUCCGCAGGCCUAGAGUAGACGGGUUUCAAGAUAAGAUUUGUUGUUGAGAGCUAAUGCAUUAGACCAUGACUUAUCUGAUUUAAAUUUAUUGUAGCCUGUUGGUCCCCUAAUUCUAACAAAUUGAUGGGUACACAUUGCUUUUGUAGUUGAAUUUGGUCUCCAUGAUAAUGGUUGAGACCCCAUCAUGCCAAUCCAGUUCUGAAAUUAUGCAUAAUUGUGAAGGGUAAGGAGAGGAUAAGCAGAACCUAAUGGCUUGCAGAUUAAUUCAGAUUCAGCAUUUUUCUUCUUAAUUAUAUUUCAGGUGAAUUAUGAAUUUUCACCAUUCAAGAAGAAGAGGGCAUGCAAAUGAUAUCAUAUGUUCAUAUCGGCUUUUACUCCAUUUUUCUGUGCUUGUUCUUAAUAAUUGCAGAAGGGGCGGUACUGGUUCCCAAAGGAUGGACAAAUGCAUAUGUCUAAUUUCCUUGUUAACGUUUGUGCAAUGUUUGUUAAGGGAUAAACUCGUGCAAUAAUGUGGAAGAUAAUGGCAGAGUAAAGCAAUGACUGUUUUAUUGAUGCAGCUGAGGUCGGUUCAUGCAUUUGAAUCAACUUUGCAUCAAAUGUAAUCGAAGAUGAUCGAGCGCCAUGUUGGUGUUUGGGUUCCCAAUGGGUCUUUUAUACUAGUGUUCUAUUUUGACUUCAUCUUGGUUUUACAAAAUGAUUUUAGCAAAACCUGAUCACCAUCAAAGAGAUGUACAGAGGAGGAUGGUUUAUUUUAAAAGAUCUUAAGGCAUUUAUUAUAUGAUGGCAAGAAAUAUGGAUUAAAACAUGCCAUGCUUAUGGUAUAAUGGCUAUCAUAUCAACCAAAAAUAUGGGCCUUCUUGCAAAUUAUGGCGGUUUUAGUUUCCGAAUAUACUUCACACAUCCUCCUGUGCAACAUGUGUAUGGAUUGUUAGAAUCUUUUUGGGCUUACAUUGUUUGGAAUUUUUUUUUUUAAUUUCAUAAAAUGGGUUGAGCAUGUAGCCCAAUUAAUUAUCCCGUGAGCCCAAGUGAUCUAAUGUUAUAGUUGGGGUUGUAAGAUGUGGUACAAAAGUAUAUGGCCUAUACUGUUGGAUAUCUAUGAUGGAUGGGUUCGUUAAAUUAUUAUAUAUAGACUGGAUCCCCUCUCCUCUCAAGACACAGGAUAAUUGUUUGCCCCAUCGAUAGCCGUUUAAUAUAAAGGAGAAGGAGAGGAAAUCCAAGACCUAAGACGUGUGCAGGUUGUUGUCAACUUACAGGCAAAUCACAGUGAAAGCUAAUCAGCUAUAGAUUCAAGAGGUAUGUUUAAACUCUUUAUUAUUAAUUAUCGGUGUUCUAGAUUUAGUAUGGCUUUAAUUUAAUUGCUUAUAGAUGGUAUCAGAGCCAUACCAUACUGGAUCUAAAACCUUAUGUUUUGUUGUUUAAACAAUUAAUAGUCCAACGGUUGGCAAAACAAUUUUUUUCAUGUAACUGAAUAAUUUUUGUGAGUUUCCUUGUUUGGUUUAUUUUUUGAAAUUUUUUGAACCUGAGGCAUGGACUUUUUGUUUUUUUUCCUCUUUUGGUUGAUGUUUGCUCAUUUUCUUCAUUUAUGGGAUCUGUUAUCGUGCUUGAAUUGCAUGUAGUAUUGCUUUUUGGGUUGAGCCACCGUGAAAGGAUUUAAAGUUUUUUGAAAGUCCCUAUGCAUGUUAUUCGAUAUUAUUUUGCUGCUUGAUAUAUACUAAUUAUUUAAUUUUUUUUUAUUUUAGUAUAUUUUCAGAUUUAAUGGUGAUGUUGACUCCCUUUGAUUUGUUCUCUAAAAUUAUGUACUCUCAAUUUAUUUAAAGAGAAAUAAUAAUUGGAACCAAAUUAAUUAUGGGCAUAAGUAUUAUUCUGUGUGGGACAAUUCUACUAAAGAGGUGGGUGAUUGCUGCCACAGUGGCUCAUUCGUUAAGUUAAUAGAAUUUUUUCAUGAUAGUUUCAGGAUAUUCUUGCUUCUUGUAUUAUUGCAAUCAAUUGCUCACCCAAAAAAAGUUAUUGUGUGUUUUAAUUUGGGAAAGCAUGGAGUAAUUUAUUGAAUGUAAUGGACUAAAGGGUCUAUCUGCCCACAGGUGUUAGGCUUUUGAAAUAUGUUUAUUUCAUUAAAUUGCUUGCUUCAAGGAUUUUCAUAUUGCAUGUUAUAUUCUCUAACCUGAGGGGAGUUUAUGGUGAUGCACCUUGGGGUCCUUGUGAGAAUAUAUUAUAUUCUUAUUUUUUGAUUAUUGUCCAUGUUGUAAUUAUUAAUUGUGCUAUCAUUAUUUUUCAGCUCCAUGUACAUUUUCUGUCAAUAAUCAGACCUCUACUAUUGAAACUUUGACUGAAAAUAAUUACAAGAGAUGAAAAGAGAAUAUUGAAAUGGCCUUUAUCAUGAUAAAUAUUGAUAUAGCCAUACGAGAGAGUGAGCCUGCAAAACCUACUAUUGAAAGUACAGUUGAAGAAAAAACCCUAUAUGAAAAAUGGGAUAGGGCUAAUCGUUUGGCCUUGAUGAUGAUGAAAAGGUCAAUUUCAGCAACCCUUGUUCAUGGAAUGCGAACCACUUCUAAUGUCAAAGAAUUUUUUAGUACCAUUGGGGAAAGAUAUGUAGUAUCUGAAAAGGCUGAAAUUACUGAACUUUUGGAGAAACUUAUAGGUAUGAAAUAUGAUGGGAUGGGUGUCAUUAGGGAGCAUAUUUUGAAAAUUAUCGAUAUUAUUAGACAACUUGAAAACCUCAAUGUCCCUUUCAAUGAGACUUUUAUUGUUCACCGUUCCUUGAUUUUUUUACCUAGCCAGUUUGCUAAUUUCAAACUUUCUAUAAUGCCCAAAAGGAAAUCUGGGACGUGAAUACCUUAAUAUCCAUUUGUACCCAAAAAGAACAAAGGAUAUGAUGGGAGAAUGGAGGGAGUGUGAAUUUAGUUACUCAGCCAUGCCCUAAGAAGUCUGGACCUAAUAAGAAAUUUAAGCCCAACAAUCAUAACGGUCCCAAAAAAGAACAUGAUCAGACUCACAAAGUUCUGAGCCCUAAAGUUAUUAUCAAAAAGGAUAAUAAAUGUUGGUUUUGUCAAAAGGAAGGUCAUAAAAGAUCUGAUUGCCCUGGAUUUAAGAUUUGGUUAGCAAAGCAUAAGAAACAAAAAGGUAAUUUAUUGGCUCUUGUUUGCUUUGAAUCUGAUUUAAUGGAUGUUCCUUUAAAUUCUUGAUGGAUUGAUUCAGGGGUAUCUAUUCAUAUUGCUAAUUCCUUACAGGAGUUCAAGAGCAAAUGAAAAUCAAGUGAAGAUGAAGUCAAACUUUAUGUUGGAAAUGGAGUCCAAGUAGAAGUCGAAUUUAUAGGGACAGUUGAAUUGAAAUUAAAGUCUAGUUUUUCUUUGAUUUUGGAAAAGAUUCUUUAUGUGCCGUCCUUAAGGCAGAAUUUAAUUUCUUUGUCAAAACUUGAUGAGUGUGGUUUUUUCUUUAAUUUUAGUAAUGAUAUUUUUGAAUUAAUUUCUAAAUCUCAAGUUGUUGGAAAUGGUUUUAAAUGUGAUAGUUUGUAUAGAUUAAAUCUUGAGUCUAAACCACUUACCUCCUUAUAUAUUGAAAAUAUAGGUACCAAAAGAGCUAUGAUUAAAAAAAUUCUUUUAAAUUAUGGCAUAGACGUCUGGGUUAUAUUUCAAAAGAAAGAAUUGACAAACUGAUAAAAGAUGAAGCUCUUCCUUCUCUUGAUUAUUCGGAUUUUGAAACCUGUGUUGAUUGUAUUAGGGGCAAGUUGAUCAAGUCUAAAAGAAAAGGAUCCACUCGUUCUAAUGAUCUUCUAGAAAUAAUUCAUGCAGAUAUUAGUGGACCUUUAAAAUUGACUAUAUGUAGAAAUAGAUACUUUAUCAUAUUUAUUGAUGAUUAUUCUCAUUUUGGUUAUGUAUAUCUUAUCAAUGAUAAAUAUCCGGCUUUAAAAUUUUUUAAAAUUUAUAAAACUGUGGUUGAAAAGCAAUGUGGUAAAGCAAUUAAGAUUGUGAGGUCUGAUCAUGGUGGUGAGUAUUAUGGCAGACAUGGUGAUACAGAAUAAUUUAUGGGGCCAUUUGCCAAAUAUUUACAAGAUUAUGGUAUUGUUUCUCAAUUUAUUAUUCCUGAAACUCCUGAACAAAAUGGGAUGGCUGAAAGAUGUAAUCACACUCUUAAGGAUAUGAUUAGGUCCAUAAUGAGUAGGUGUGAUCUUUCUGAGUUUUUUGGGAUAAAGUCCUUAAAACUGCUAUGUAUAUUCUCAACAGAGUAUCUAGUAAAUCUAUUUCUAAAACUCUUUUUGAACCGUAGAAGGGAUGGAAGCCUAGUUUUAACCAUUUUCGUGUUUGGAGUUGUCCUCCUGAGUGAAAUCUAUGAUCCUUUAGAGUCAAAAUUGGACCCUAAAGCCAUCCGUUGUUAUUUUAUUGGUUACCCUAAUAAUUCCAAAGGUUAUAGAUUCUACUGUCCUACUUGUGGUACAAGGAUUGUUAAGGCUAUUACUGUUAAAUUCUUGGAGAAUGAUAUGAAUGAUUGUGGAUGCUCUCAUAUUAGAGAUGUGAUUUUGGAAGAACGUCUUGUCAUAUCCAUACCUAUUGUACAGGAGAGAGUGAUUUUUCAGCCUACUGAAUUAGUGGGAGAGGAGUAACAGCCACAUGAAACUAUGGAGCUAUUUAUUGUGCCACUUCAACCAGUUGAGGAGGCUCCUGUUAGACGUUCUCAAAGAGCAAGGAGGCCUGCAUUGUCAGAUGACUAUGUUGUUUAUAUGGAAGAGACUGAUUAUGAUAUUAGGAAUGCUGUGGAUCCAAUCUCUUGUAAUCAAGCCAUGUCUUGUCCUCAAUCUUCUGAAUGGCUUAAUGCUAUGAAAGAUGAAAUCCAAUCAUGUUUCACAAUGAUGUGUGGGAGCUUGUGGAACUUCCUUGUGGUCUUAAACCUAUUGGUUGUAAGUGGGUAUUCAAAACCAAGAAAGAUCCUAAGGAAAAAGUAAAACGUUAUAAAGCUAGAUUGGUGGCAAAGGGGUUUACUCAAAAGGAAGGUAUUAAUUAUAAUGAAAUAUUUUUUCCAGUCUCAUCUAAGGAUUCUUUCAGAAUUAUUAUGGCACUUGUAGCACACUUUGAUUUAGAACUUCAUCAGAUGGAUGUGAAAACUACUUUCUUGAAUGGGAGCCUUUCAGAAUAAGUUUAUAUGCAGCAACCUGAAGGUUUCAAAGAGAGUGAUAAGGAAUAUAUGGUAUGUAGGUUAAAGAAGUCUAUAUAUGAUCUCAAACAGGCUUCUAGGCAGUGGUACAUUAAAUUUGAUGAGGUUGUGACAUCUUUUGGGUUUAUCGAGAAUAAGAUUGAUCAGUGUAUGAUCAGUGGGAGCAAAUUCAUUUUUCUUGUCCUUUAUGUGGAUGAUAUUUUGCUUGCUAAUAGUGAUCUUCAUGAGACUAAAUCUAUGCUUUCUAAGACCUUUGAUAUAAAAAAUCUGAGGAAGCAUCCUUUGUAUUGGGUAUUGAGAUUCACAGAGACAUACCUAGAGGUGUUUUGGGACUUUCUCAAGAGGCCUAUAUUGAACGUGUUUUAGUUAGAUUUAAUAUACAGGGUGGUAAGUCUGGAGAUGUGCCUAUUAUAAAAGAUGAAGUACUUAGUAAGAAAAGUUGUCCUAAAAAUGAGAUUGAGAGAAAAUCAAUGAAAAAUAUUCCUGUGCCAGAGCAGUUGGGAGCUUGAUGUAUGCUCAAGUUUGUACCAGACCAGAUAUUGCUUUUGGUGUGAGUGUGCUUGGCAAGUUCUUAUCAAAUCCAGGGAUGGAUCAUUAGGUGGCUGCAAAGAAAGUGAUGAGAUACUUGCAGAAAACUAAAGACUUUAUGCUUGUUUAUAGAAAGUCUGAUAAUCUUGAAGUCAUUGACUAUUCUGAUGCAGAUUAUGCAGGUUGUCCAGAUGAUAGAAAAUCAACUUGUGGUUAUGUUUACAUGAUGUGUGGAGGGCCGAAUUGUUCCAUGAAAAAGUGUAAAACAAACUCUUGUUGCUUCUUCCACUAUGCAGGCAGAGUUUGUAGCUUGUCAUGAAGUAGCUAAACAGGCAUUGUGGUUAAAGAAUUUUAUUUUUGGAUUAUUGGUUGUUGAUUCUACCUAUAGGCCAAUUUUAAUCUAUUGUGAUAAUAGUGCUGCAGUGUUCUUUUCGAAGAACAAUAACAAUUCUAAUGGCUCCAAACAUAUAGAGAUUAAAUAUCUUGUAGUCAGAGAUAUGGUUAAAAGAGGUGAUAUUAUUGUGGAGCAUCUUGAGACUGAGGCGAUGAUAGCUAAUCCAUUAACCAAGGGUGUCCAACCAAUUAUUUUUAAGAAACAUGUUGAAAACAUGAGUAUUUUGGGGUCUUUUGAUUACUUGGUUAGUGGGAGUUAUGUAUUAUGUAAUUGAAUUUUCAGACUUGUUGACUUUAUAUUUUGGAUGAUAUAUGCAUAAGGAUAUUUAUCAUUAAUUUAUUAUGUGCAUGUAAUGGUUAUUGUUUUUUGUUAUGCCUGUGCAUAACUGGUUAUGUUGUUUGUGUUCAUUUGUUGAUCGUAUUAAUAUCUCGAGAUAUAUAUUGAAAUUGUCUCCUUGGGGAGGUAUUAUGGAUUUCGUUAGAAACCAUGGAGGACCAUAAUAGACUUGGCAUAAAAGAGAUCACAUAUUGGCAUGCUUUGUCUAUUCUACAUUUAUCACAUCUAUUUAUGGUCAAUAAAAUUGCUGGCUUUUGUGAUCAUGGUUGGAUUUAUGACAUUAAUUGCAUUAUGAUGGUCAUGAUUCGAAGUUGAUAUUCUUAUUGGAUCAGAUCAUAUUCUUCAAGAUAUUCUAUUGGGCUGUGUUGUUAGUGGCCACUGUUGUUGUUGUUGUUCAAUCCAAGAGUCGUUUUCUAAAAAUUGAGUUUUUUAAAGUUAAAAUACCAAUCAAUGUCGCCCAAGGGAGAGAAUGUUAGAAUCUUUUUGAGCUUACAUUGUUUGAGAUUUGUUUUAUUUCAUAAAAUGGGUUGAGCAUGUCGCCCAAUUAAUUGUCCUGUGAGCCCAAAUGAUCCAAUGUUGUGGUUGGGCUUGUAAGAUGUGGUAUAAAAAUGUCGGGCCUAUACUGUUGAAUACCCAUGAUGGGUGGAUUCGUUAAAUUAUUAUAUAUAAGCUGGGUCUCCUCUCCUCUCAAGACACGAGACAAUUGCUUGCCCCAUCGAUAACCAUCUAGUAUAGAGGAGAGGAGAAGGAGAGGAGAAGGAGAGGAAACCCUAGACCUAAGACAUGUGCGCGUGUGCACAUUGUUGUCAACUUGCAAGCAAAUCGCAAUGAAAGCUAAUCAACUAUGGAUUCAAGAGGUAUGUUUAAACUCUUUAUUAUUAAUUAUCGGUGUUCUAGAUUUAGUAUGGCUUUAAUCUAAUUGCUUACAUGGAUAUGCAAGCUCACGUUGGUAUGGCACAUAACAAGUGCAUGUAGUGCAUCCGCGUCGAUUUCUAGUCUCAGCAAUGGAACUUAUCAUGCAUUACAUGAUCUAUCAGGUUUGAGAUCGGCGUCUGAUGGUAUCUGGUAGCACAUGUCGAUGGAAAUUUCAAUUUGCAUUUCAAGGUGAGGAUUUCAAAGGAAGAUGAGUUUGGCAAUGAGCCACUGUAUGCGAUCGAUGAAACUGACCCACCAAUGUUGUUGAUGGCCACAAGCAACCAUCUUGCAGUUAAUAGCAAUAGAAAUGGAAUGGUUAGAUGCUAGAGCUCCACGGGAUCAGGGAUCAGAGAGCAGGGCAAUUGGUUGGAUUGAUUGCUAACUAGAUGGUUGUGACAGCAGAUAAGGAUGGGUAGGCUAGGUGGUAUGGAUGUAUGAUCGUUUAUCUACAAAUGGGGGAACAGAAUUGUGUGGUCCUCUAGCAGAUUCUAAAACACAGAGAUUCAAUCAUGGAGUGAUGAUUUGGCAGUGUUAAUGCUCACUCGCGUUGCUAUGGCAUGGUCGGUCACAUGGAGAUGAGUUAAAUCAUGAUGUUGUUUAAAACACAACCAUCUAUUUCUCACAUUAAACCCCAAGUUGCCAUCCGCUCAAGCGGCUGGACAGAAGCCUGGGCUGUCCAUCACUUGAAAUUCUAAUCUUUGGUUGUUUUUAAUCUCUCACUCAGCACCUACUUGUUUUCUGUUUUCUUUUUUUUUCUCUGUUUUUUUAUCCCUGAGGUCCAAGAAGAGCCACUCUAGACUGGUAGCGCCUUGUAUUUGUUCAAGUUUUAUUUUAUUUUAUUUUUGCAUGCGGCGGGCCUCCCAGCAAGUUGGAUCAAUGAACAGGGAAUUGAUGUGGUAUCGACGGUAUCAAUUAAUUCUGCCUGUCCCUCUCGGACCGAUGAAUUAAGCGAUGAUCCGGCAGGAGAUCUUUAAUAUUUCCUCACACAAAUUAAAUUGCGCCCAACUAUGUCAAAUCAAGACAUAUUAUCCUACGUACUAUGGCUAAAUCACUACAUAUUAUGCAACGUCCGAUACCGUAUGAAAGCAUCGCAAUCACAAUCAGACCAAAUUAUGCCAAUUCACUGCGAAGUGUGAACCGAGCACCAAAUCACCCCAAAUUAGAUGCCAUGCCACCGCUGGAAUUAUUUUCGCACGAAACCCCAGCAAUGGAAUCCCACGGUUAAGUGGAAUCAAAAAGGGUUCAAGACACCAGCCCUCCGACACCAAUCCGUAUUUCAAUUGCAAUGGAAAUGAAGCGUAUAUGCUUGCACGGUAUAUUUUACUGUACUGAUUUCUGCUUUAUAUAUGAACAACAUCUGAAAGCAAGAUUUGCAAUCCAUUCGGUAUAUUGCAUACCAUGUAUUGGUAUAGCAUACCGUCUCAUAUUAAUACUAACAUAUCAUACCAAAUCACAUACUGGUACUAUAAUAAAUUGGUAUCAGUAUGGAUCCGAUAUCAAGAUGAUAAAUCUCAUGUGAAAAGAUGUGGGAUCAUACACAUGGGCCUCCCACUAGAGUUAUUUGGAGCCAAAUGAGAUGAGAUCAAGAAAACGGCAACAAAACCAGCAGAAAUAAAUGACAUGAAGCAUAGCCUCUUAUUUCAAAUGAAUAAAUGUACACCACUAAAUAAAUGUCACAUAAUCAUGUAUCAGAAAAUGAAUCACUCUGUCACCGGAAAAUCUCAAAAUCUCGAACUCAAAUUCCACCCCCUUCUGACAAAAGGGACAGGUGAAAAAAUAACAAAUGUGAAUAAUAAGUAGAUGCACAAGGAAACAUGUAUACCUCAUAACACUCCAUACCACUACUCCACAAGGAAAACCAUGAUGUCCCGUCCCCAUUUCCUAUGCCAUGUAAGACUCUCAAUGAGCCAAAAAGGCAAGGAAAGACAUCAGAGAAGCCAGAGCUGCAGCGCAGACGCCCGGGAAAGUCCCCACAGAUCCAUUCUCCAUGGCAGGUGCUGGACUUGGAGCCAUGCCUUCCUCUUGGGCACCAACGAUGACCAAAACAAGUAGCAGAAGCAGCAGAGGUGCCUUCAAGGAGAGAUUGAGUACUGCCAUUCUAAUUUAGAUUUGAGAGACACAGAGGUAUGGGGAGAAGAGAAACAAACAGAGAGAGAUUGAGAAAUAGGUGAAUUUGGGUUACCAUGUGGAAGCUCCGGUUGGGUUUUUAUAGUCAUGGAAGAAGGUUCAAAGAAUAAGAAAAAAGAGAGCCGUUGGAGAGAAGAAACCUUUCGAAUUCCGGCAUCUAUGUGGGGUGGGACCCGGAGGAACAAAUGUAGCCGUUAAAGGAGAACACGUGUCAUCUAAUAGAAGGGUCGGUUCAGAAGCCGCUGAACGGCACGAUCACCUGGCCGCGAAGGAGGACAAAUGCGCUCCAUGGAGGACCGGCCGGCAGACGGCUGCGAGGCAAGCGAAGAAACGUCCAGGCGAGGCGACAGCUAACGUUCACCGACAGGUGGGAGGACUUGUCCGGUAGGUGGAAACUGGUAAAGAGAGAUGACUGCCUCUCUAGCAAUGGCGUGCACGUCUCGGAGUCUAGAAAAAUUAGGUGAACAUACCGCGGAACAGGACUAACGGCUG